rnacentral:rRNA from 1 species
UACGUAGGGUGCGAGCGUUAAUCGGAUUUACUGGGCGUAAAGGGGGCGUAGGCGGCCGGGAAAGUCCGGUGUGAAAACUCACGGCUCAACCGUGGAACUGCGCUGGAAACUACACGGCUUGAGGACGGUAGAGGGAGACGGAACUGCUGGUGUAGGGGUGAAAUCCGUAGAUAUCAGCAGGAACGCCGGUGGAGAAGUCGGUCUCCUGGGCCGUUCCUGACGCUGAGGCCCGAAAGCUAGGGGAGCAAACCGG